GAUGAAGAACGUAGCGAAAUGCGAUAAGUAAUGUGAAUUGCAGAAUUCAGUGAAUCAUCGAAUCUUUGAACGCACAUUGCGCCCGCUGGUAUUCCGGCGGGCAUGCCUGUUCGAGCGUCAUUUCAACCCUCAAGCCCCCGGGUUUGGUGUUGGGGAUCGGCUCUGCCCUUCUGGGCGGUGCCGCCCCCGAAAUACAUUGGCGGUCUCGCUGCAGCCUCCAUUGCGUAGUAGCUAACACCUCGCAACUGGAACGCGGCGCGGCCAUGCCGUAAAACCCCAACUUCCGAAUGUUGACCUCGGAUCAGGUAGGAAUACCCGCUGAACUUAAGCAUAUCAAUAAGCGGAGGA
rnacentral:misc_RNA from 1 species